ACGGGUGAGUAAUAUAUCGGAACGUACCUUUGAGUGGGGGAUAACUAGUCGAAAGAUUAGCUAAUACCGCAUACGAUCUACGGAUGAAAGCGGGGGAUCGCAAGACCUCGUGCUCAUAGAGCGGCCGAUAUCUGAUUAGCUAGUUGGUGAGGUAAAGGCUCACCAAGGCAUCGAUCAGUAGCUGGUCUGAGAGGACGACCAGCCACACUGGGACUGAGACACGGCCCAGACUCCUACGGGAGGCAGCAGUGGGGAAUUUUGGACAAUGGGGGCAACCCUGAUCCAGCAAUGCCGCGUGAGUGAAGAAGGCCUUCGGGUUGUAAAGCUCUUUUGUCAGGGAAGAAACGGGAUGUCCUAAUACGGUGUCCUAAUGACGGUACCUGAAGAAUAAGCACCGGCUAACUACGUGCCAGCAGCCGCGGUAAUACGUAGGGUGCAAGCGUUAAUCGGAAUUACUGGGCGUAAAGCGUGCGCAGGCGGUUAUGUAAGACAGGUGUGAAAUCCCCGGGCUUAACCUGGGAAUGGCAUUUGUGACUGCAUGGCUAGAGUGUGUCAGAGGGGGGUAGAAUUCCACGUGUAGCA
rnacentral:rRNA from 1 species